UCGUGACCCUGACCAAAACAGACCGCGCACGCGUCAUCCAGCCCGCCGAGCGGCGGCACCGUACGUCGCUCGGCCAAGUCCUCGACAACCCUCGCUCCUCGGAGCGGGGGCUCGGGGUAAAAGAACCCACGGCGCCGAAGGCGUCAAGGAACACUGUGCCUAGCCCGGGGACGCGGCUGGCUUGCUGGCCGCCCCCCCGUGCUGCAAAGCUAUUUAAUCCACACGACUCUCGGCAACGGAUAUCUCGGCUCUCGCAUCGAUGAAGAACGUAGCGAAAUGCGAUACCUGGUGUGAAUUGCAGAAUCCCGCGAACCAUCGAGUCUUUGAACGCAAGUUGCGCCCGAGGCCAUUCGGCCGAGGGCACGCCUGCCUGGGCGUCACGCUAAACACGCUCCCACCCCCUCAUCGGGGAUCGGGAUGCGGCAUGUGGCCCCUCGUCACGCAAGUAGCGGUGGGCCGAAGAUAUGGCUGCCGGCGCAUCGUGCCGGACACAGCGCGUGGUGGGCGACCUCGCUUUACUUACCGCAGUGCAUCCGGCGCGUAGCCGACGUGAUGGCCUCGAAAGACCCUUCGAACGGUGCGCAUGACGCUCCGACCGCGACCC
rnacentral:misc_RNA from 1 species